rnacentral:rRNA from 1 species
UACGGGGGGGGCAAGCGUUGUUCGGAAUUACUGGGCGUAAAGGGCUCGUAGGCGGCCAACUAAGUCAUACGUGAAAUCCCUCGGCUUAACCGGGGAACUGCGUCUGAUACUGGAUGGCUUGAGGUUGGGAGAGGGAUGCGGAAUUCCAGGUGUAGCGGUGAAAUGCGUAGAUAUCUGGAGGAACACCGGUGGCGAAGGCGGCAUCCUGGGCCAAUUCUGACACUGAGGAGCGAAAGCCAGGGGAGCAAACGGG